rnacentral:rRNA from 1 species
GAUGAACGCUGGCGGCGUGCCUAAUACAUGCAAGUCGAGCGAACGGACGAGAAGCUUGCUUCUCUGAUGUUAGCGGCGGACGGGUGAGUAACACGUGGAUAACCUACCUAUAAGACUGGGAUAACUUCGGGAAACCGGAGCUAAUACCGGAUAAUAUUUUGAACCGCAUGGUUCAAAAGUGAAAGACGGUCUUGCUGUCACUUAUAGAUGGAUCCGCGCUGCAUUAGCUAGUUGGUAAGGUAACGGCUUACCAAGGCAACGAUGCAUAGCCGACCUGAGAGGGUGAUCGGCCACACUGGAACUGAGACACGGUCCAGACUCCUACGGGAGGCAGCAGUAGGGAAUCUUCCGCAAUGGGCGAAAGCCUGACGGAGCAACGCCGCGUGAGUGAUGAAGGUCUUCGGAUCGUAAAACUCUGUUAUUAGGGAAGAACAUAUGUGUAAGUAACUGUGCACAUCUUGACGGUACCUAAUCAGAAAGCCACGGCUAACUACGUGCCAGCAGCCGCGGUAAUACGUAGGUGGCAAGCGUUAUCCGGAAUUAUUGGGCGUAAAGCGCGCGUAGGCGGUUUUUUAAGUCUGAUGUGAAAGCCCACGGCUCAACCGUGGAGGGUCAUUGGAAACUGGAAAACUUGAGUGCAGAAGAGGAAAGUGGAAUUCCAUGUGUAGCGGUGAAAUGCGCAGAGAUAUGGAGGAACACCAGUGGCGAAGGCGACUUUCUGGUCUGUAACUGACGUUGAUGUGCGAAAGCGUGGGGAUCAAACAGGAUUAGAUACCCUGGUAGUCCACGCCGUAAACGAUGAGUGCUAAGUGUUAGGGGGUUUCCGCCCCUUAGUGCUGCAGCUAACGCAUUAAGCACUCCGCCUGGGGAGUACGACCGCAAGGUUGAAACUCAAAGGAAUUGGCGGGGACCCGCACAAGCGGUGGAGCAUGUGGUUUAAUUCGAAGCAACGCGAAGAACCUUACCAAAUCUUGACAUCCUUUGACAACUCUAGAGAUAGAGCUUUCCCCUUCGGGGGACAAAGUGACAGGUGGUGCAUGGUUGUCGUCAGCUCGUGUCGUGAGAUGUUGGGUUAAGUCCCGCAACGAGCGCAACCCUUAAGCUUAGUUGCCAUCAUUAAGUUGGGCACUCUAAGUUGACUGCCGGUGACAAACCGGAGGAAGGUGGGGAUGACGUCAAAUCAUCAUGCCCCUUAUGAUUUGGGCUACACACGUGCUACAAUGGACAAUACAAAGGGCAGCGAAACCGCGAGGUCAAGCAAAUCCCAUAAAGUUGUUCUCAGUUCGGAUUGUAGUCUGCAACUCGACUACAUGAAGCUGGAAUCGCUAGUAAUCGUAGAUCAGCAUGCUACGGUGAAUACGUUCCCGGGUCU